UACUACUGCUGGUUUUGAGGAAGAGAGGGAAAUUGAAUUCUUUCACGGCAUUUGUGUGCUGGAGAGGUUGGGUCUCGGAGUUAUGAAACUUAGAUGUCAAUUCUUGCUUAACUUUGGCUUGUGCUUUAAGCUACCAAUGAGGUGGACAGUAUCCAACAACAGAUUGUGAAUGUGGGAUACUCGGAUGCAUUAUUUAAUCAAGAAGUUCUGGCACAAAAGGAGCUGCAAACAGUUUUGCGUUUUCAGGAAUGCUUAUGGCGAGAAAAGUCAAGAAUCUAAGGGCAUGCUCAAGGAGAGCAGAAUACUUCUUUUUUCAUAAAAUAGCACUCCAUCAUUUUGUAUCUAAGGGUCUAUCUUAGCUACGUAAAGGGAAUUGAUUACUAGAGUCUCAAGAGGAGUUCGAAGCAGAGGUGUGGGAUUUCUUUCCCAAUAUUUAUGCGGGCAGCGACUCUUGUAUCCCUAACAGCUUUGUAGAUAUAUCGUACCAUUCCAAGCUUGGUAUCAGGUGAAGAUGAUGCUUUUUUAUCCAACAUCCCUUUAAAUGAGGAGGUUAAAUCUUUAGUGUUUGACAUGAAUGGUGAGGGUGUUCCCGGGACCGAUGGUUGCAACGGAUUUUCUUCCAGCACUACUAGGAUGCAGUUGGAGAUACUGUCUAUCAGUUAGUGCUGCAAUUGUUCAAGUCUAGGUGGAUUCUACCAAAUUUAAAUUCUAACACGGCGGUGCUGUUUCCUAUAAAUCUAGAUGCAGAUUCUAUAGAUAACUAUAGGCCCAUUGCUUAGCUUGUUCUCAAUUUAGUUGUUCUUAAUUUAAUACUAACUAUAUUUAGUUGUUCUCAAUUUAGUUUAAUCUAUGAUGUUUAUCUAAUAUCUAUGGAGACAAUUAAAAUUUAAAAAA